AGAGUUUGAUCAUGGCUCAGAUUGAACGCUGGCGGAAUGCUUUACACAUGCAAGUCGAACGGCAGCACGGGGGCAACCCUGGUGGCGAGUGGCGAACGGGUGAGUAAUACAUCGGAACGUGCCCAGUCGUGGGGGAUAACGUAGCGAAAGCUACGCUAAUACCGCAUACGAUCUAUGGAUGAAAGCGGGGGACCGUAAGGCCUCGCGCGAUUGGAGCGGCCGAUGGCAGAUUAGGUAGUUGGUGGGGUAAAGGCUCACCAAGCCGACGAUCUGUAGCUGGUCUGAGAGGACGACCAGCCACACUGGGACUGAGACACGGCCCAGACUCCUACGGGAGGCAGCAGUGGGGAAUUUUGGACAAUGGGCGCAAGCCUGAUCCAGCCAUUCCGCGUGCAGGAUGAAGGCCUUCGGGUUGUAAACUGCUUUUGUACGGAACGAAAAGGCCUUUUCUAAUACAGAGGGCUCAUGACGGUACCGUAAGAAUAAGCACCGGCUAACUACGUGCCAGCAGCCGCGGUAAUACGUAGGGUGCAAGCGUUAAUCGGAAUUACUGGGCGUAAAGCGUGCGCAGGCGGUGAUGUAAGACAGGUGUGAAAUCCCCGGGCUUAACCUGGGAACUGCAUUUGUGACUGCAUCGCUGGAGUGCGGCAGAGGGGGAUGGAAUUCCGCGUGUAGCAGUGAAAUGCGUAGAUAUGCGGAGGAACACCGAUGGCGAAAGCAAUCCCCUGGGCCUGCACUGACGCUCAUGCACGAAAGCGUGGGGAGCAAACAGGAUUAGAUACCCUGGUAGUCCACGCCCUAAACGAUGUCAACUGGUUUGUUGGUCUUCACUGACUCAGUAACGAAGCUAACGCGUGAAGUUGACCGCCUGGGGAGUACGGCCGCAAGGUUGAAACUCAAA
rnacentral:rRNA from 1 species